rnacentral:tRNA from 1 species
GAGGGUAUAGCUCAAGUGGUAGAGAGCAUGCCUCGUAUACAUAAGGUCCUGGGUUCAAUCCACAGUACCUCCU